rnacentral:sRNA from 1 species
AAUAAGAGCUCUUUUAAGAGCCACACAAGAAAACGGAAGAAACGAUU